UACGGAGGGAGCUAGCGUUGUUCGGAUAUACUGGGCGUAAAGCGCACGUAGGCGGCGUCGUAAGUCAGGGGUGAAAUCCCGGAGCUCAACUCCGGAACUGCCCUUGAAACUGCAAUGCUAGAAUCUUGGAGAGGCGAGUGGAAUUCCAGGUGUAGCGGUGAAAUGCGUAGAUAUCUGGAGGAACACCGGUGGCGAAGGCGGCAUCCUGGACCGGUAUUGACGCUGAUGCGCGAAAGCCAGGGGAGCAAACGGG
rnacentral:rRNA from 1 species